rnacentral:rRNA from 1 species
CUAAGAAUCUUCCGCAAUGGGCGCAAGCCUGACGGAGCGACGCCGCGUGGACGAAGAAUGCCGAGAGGUUGUAAAGUCCUUUUAUAUGCGAAGAAUAAUAUCUGUAGGUAAUGACAGAUAGAUGACGUUAGCUUAUGAAUAAGCUCCGGCCAAUUACGUGCCAGCAGCCGCGGUAACACGUAAGGAGCGAGCGUUGUUCGGAAUUAUUGGGCGUAAAGGGCAUGUAGGCGGUUAUGUAAGUCCGAUGUGAAAUACCACAGCUUAACUGUGGAAACGCAUUGGAAACUGUGUGACUUGAAUCAGUGAGGGGUAACCGGAAUUUCUAGUGUAGGGGUGAAAUCUGUUGAUAUUAGAAAGAACACCGAUGGCGAAGGCAGGUUACUGGCACAUGAUUGACGCUGAGAUGCGAAAGCGUAGGGAGCGAACA